CAGUAGCGGCGAGCGAAGCGGCAACAGCUCAAAUUUGAAAUCUGGCCUCGCGGUCCGAGUUGUAAUUUGUAGAGGAUGUUUCGGGCGUGGUCCGGUCUAAGUUCCUUGGAACAGGACGUCAUAGAGGGUGAGAAUCCCGUAUGUGACCGGGUGCCUAAGCUCAUGUGAAACUCCUUCGACGAGUCGAGUUGUUUGGGAAUGCAGCUCAAAAUGGGUGGUAAAUUUCAUCUAAAGCUAAAUACUGGCCAGAGACCGAUAGCGCACAAGUAGAGUGAUCGAAAGAUGAAAAGCACUUUGGAAAGAGAGUUAAACAGCACGUGAAAUUGUUGAAAGGGAAGCGUUUACAAUCAGACUUGCGCGCGGCUGAUCAUCCGGUGUUCUCACCGGUGCACUCGGCCGCGCUCAGGCCAGCAUCGGUCUCGGUGGUUGGACAAAGGCCGUGGGAACGUGGCUCUUCGGAGUGUUAUAGCCCACGGUGCCAUACAGCCUACCGGGACCGAGGACCGCGCUUCGGCUAGGAUGCUGGCGUAAUGGUUGUCAACGACCCGUCUUGAAACACGGACCAAGGAGUCUAACAUUUGUGCGAGCGUUUGGGUGUCAAACCCGCACGCGUAAUGAAAGUGAACGGAGGUGAGAACCCUUAAGGGUGCAUCAUCGACCGGUCCUGAAGUCUUCGGAUGGAUCUGAGUACGAGUAUGAAUGUUGGGACCCGAAAGAUGGUGAACUAUUCCCAGGUAGAGUGAAGCCAGAGGAAACUCUGGUGGAGGCUCGCAGAGGUUCUGACGUGCAAAUCGAUCUUCAAACCCGGGAUUAGGGGCGAAAGACUAAUCGAACCAUCUAGUAGCU
rnacentral:rRNA from 1 species